rnacentral:tRNA from 7 species
GCCUCACUAGUUCAAUGGAAGAACGCCAGACUUCUAAUCUGGAGGCUGCGGGUUCAACCCCCGCGUGAGGUU